GAGAACACACACAAUGUCUAUGUGGCCGAAAGUAUGUGGACACCCGACCUUUACACUGUGAUUGUUGACACGAACACACCAAGCUUCCUCCGUCUUUUCUCUUUUUCUGAGCCCGGUUACCCAGCUCCUGUUCUGGCAUGACACCAGCUCCUUAAUUAACGUGGAUUCAUGCGGACUAAUUAAUAAUUAGCUUCUCGUUGUCCAACCCUUCAUGUUUUCUUUAAAUGUUACGUAACAUCCGGACACGGAAACAAAGUCUUUCUGCCUCUUCACUUUCUUAUUUCCACUCCAGCACAUUUAUAUUGUGCUUUUUUUACUCCACAACAGUUGGUUGACGGCUUUAAGUAUUUAGUUAAUUAAUUAAUCUACUCAGCAGGGCCUAUAGUAACUGCUGUCUACAUACUUUUGGCCACAUAGUACAAACAUACAGCUCUGUUCCUGAAGCUGACGCUCAUGUUUCAGAUAUUAAAGACGACUUUUUGUUCUCAUCACCUCAUUCCUGUACACAGCCUGCCUGAAGCUCCUUUGGAAGGAGAAGCGAGUUAACGGCAAUUGAAAUGCCACAACUGUCGGCCCUCGUUCCCUCCGAGGAGAGGCCGGAGAGCGUUUUCUAACACGGUUAAGAGCUCCCUCUGGAUGAGACGACAGCAGAGUCACAAAGGUCAGACUGUGCACGUCAGAGAUUAACCAGAGCCGGGCAUCGACGGGGCAUCUGGACUCAGGCCACAGCUGCUUUCCGACAAAAGAAGAAAAUACAGCCUCGACUCUGCUGCUGCUGCUGCUGCAGGGUUUAAACUCUGCUUUCUGAAAGCUGCACGAGGACACGAAGAAGAAGA